rnacentral:rRNA from 1 species
CCUACGCGAGGCAGCAGUGAGGAAUAUUGGUCAAUGGGCGGGAGCCUGAACCAGCCAAGUCGCGUGAGGGAAGACGGUCCUAUGGAUUGUAAACCUCUUUAGGCGGGGAGCAAUGCCGGGCACGUGUGCCCGGCGGGAGAGUACCCGCAGAAUAAGCAUCGGCUAACUCCGUGCCAGCAGCCGCGGUAAUACGGAGGAUGCGAUCGUUAUCCGGAUUCAUUGGGUUUAAAGGGUGCGCAGGCGGGCCUUUAAGCCGGCGGUGAAAUCGCGGGUCUCAACCCCGCCGAGCCGUCGGAACGGGGGGCCUUGAGUGCGGCGGAGGCAUGCGGAAUGCGCGGUGUAGCGGUGAAAUGCAGAGAUAUCGCGCAGAACCCCGAUUGCGAAGGCAGCGUGCCGUGCCGCCACUGACGCUGAGGCACGAAAGCGCGGGGAUCGAACAGGAUUAGAUACCCUUGUAGUC